rnacentral:rRNA from 1 species
UAUAAAUGUAAUUAUUAAAAUUAAUUGAUUAAUAGAUAUAGUCUUUAAAGUUAAAUAAUUUGGCGGUAUUUUAGUCUUUUCAGAGGAACCUGUUUUGUAAAUGAUAGUCCACGAUUAGAAAAUCUUAAGUUAGAAAUUUAUAUAUCAUCGUUAUUAAAUAUUUUUUUAGAAUCUAAUAUUUAUAAAAUAUAAUUUUAUUUUAAUUCAGAUCAUGGUAUAGUUUAUAUUUAAGUAAUAAUGGGUUACAAUAUUAAUAAAUUUGAAUUUUAAAUUUUAAAUUUAAAUGAAAUUGGAUUUGAAAGUAAUUAUUUUUUUUUAAAAUAAUGAUUUAGCUCUAAAAUAUGU